GCCAUGCUUAGACGCCAUUUUGAGGUUAAGCUAACAAAAGAGCAGUAUGCUGCCAACAAAAUGGGCAAAAUAUAGAAACAACUACCAAAAGGUGUGGGUAAAAGAAAAGGCGUUGGAAGAUUGGAUAAAGCCUGUGGUUGGUGAUGACGACAGUAAAGCUGCAUGCAAAUUUUGUAAAAAUCUAGAUUCGUGCACAUCAUGCAGGGACUGGCAAACAUAAAACAAAUACAACACCAUUUUCUUCUAUGCACCUGACAGGUACUGGAUUUACAGAAUCAAAGCCUUCAACCACGAUGCACCAAGCAGAUUUAAAUCUGGCCUGCUAUCUUGCCUGCCACUCAGAAAUUAGUUCCCUGGAUCACCUUGGAGAAGUUGUCGGAUCAGCGUUCGAAAAAGAGGGAAAACCUCAACUAAUGACAUCUCCAUGCUGAAAAUUUUCAAAGAUGACUUGGGGGCCUUGGAUGCACAGUAUCAAGCCAUCAACUUCCAGCAAUGGAAGAGCACAGAUGAUGACAAUGCGGAGCAGUUCUGGGUGGAAGUAUACACUUUUCAAGACAGUAGCAGUGAACAGGGCUUUAAAGAGCUAGCCCUGUUUGCACUUUCCCUACUGAGUAAUGCUGAUGUGGAACAAGUGUUCUCAUUGUUCACCCGAGAGAAGUCCAAGCACUGGAACAGGAUGGAUGACUCUGCGCCGUAUACUGCACCUCCGCUCUAGGUUAAGACGACUGGGGAUUUUGUUAUCAGGAUUUUGUCCCACACUAGGAUAUGGUAGUACAUUCCCACCUUGAACGUUGAGGCAACAGAGACCGUGGAGGAUGGAGAGAGUAAGGAUGACAUUUCUUAAUCACACACUGGGAGUCCGAAGAGCCAUGGAUCACACAUGAACAAUCGAGAGUAUGUGGAGCAUCUCAGCAACAUUCCACAUUUGUACCCCUUUCCAGAUGAAUAUACUAAAUGCAGAUUGUUCUGCUUAUAAAUGGGACACUUUGAAGACAAUCUCACUUAAACACUAAUAGUCUUUAACGCUGAAAACAUCUGAGUCUCCAGCCCUUAUUCAGCAAAAGAAGUUGACCAGUAAUUAGUAUGUUUGCUUGCAUGAGUAGUCAAAUUGUAGUGAGUAAUGCUGACAGAAGCAUAUUAUGGUGGUGUAGUACAAAGCCCAAAGGUAUAAGAUGCUCUUUUGGUACUGCGUUGGAAUAGGGCUAUUCUAUUUGUAUUCCAGCAGUGCCUAGAGGCCUAUAGUGAGACUGGGGCUCUGUUGUAACUGCUGUAGAAAGGUAAUGGAUUUAAUGCUUUCGGGCAGGGCAGAAUGUCUACGCAGGGGUUCUCGUGACCCCUCGGGGUUGCAAGGUGAUUACAUGGAGGUCAUGAGCCCUCAUUAAAUUAAAUUUCCUCCCCCCAUUUUUAAUUUAUUGGGGGGUCAGAGUGUGAAAGGGGUCACCAAUGCAAAAAGUUUGAAAACUGUUGGUCUACAGAAUAAGAGGAUGUUGUGCCCUGCUAUAAUUUCUGAUGAUUUAAUUUGAGGCAGCAAUUUAAAGGCCUUUAUUUCCAUAUGUGCUACUCAGUAGUAUCAAAGGGGUAGCGUGUUAGUCUGACCCUCUACUCAGUAGUAUGUGUGGCAGGGGAAAUGCUGCCCUCUAGUGAGCAAAACCACUUAAAUAGGAUGCUUAGAGAAAGUGGGGGCCUGGUUACUGUCUGGACACAAUAUGUCAAACUUAUUAGAAUGUCUUUCAGUUGUAAAAAUGCUGCUUCUAGGGGAUGGUAUAAAUUUCAGUGUGUAAUAAAAUAUUUGCUUACUGACA